AUACGUAGGGUGCGAGCGUUGUCCGGAAUUACUGGGCGUAAAGAGCUCGUAGGUGGUUUGUCGCGUCGUCUGUGAAAUUCCGGGGCUUAACUCCGGGCGUGCAGGCGAUACGGGCAUAACUUGAGUACUGUAGGGGAGACUGGAAUUCCUGGUGUAGCGGUGAAAUGCGCAGAUAUCAGGAGGAACACCAGUGGCGAAGGCGGCUUACUGGGCCGUAACUGACGCUGAGGCGCGAAAGCAUGGGGAGCGAACAGGAUUAGAUACUUUGGUAGUCCAUGCCGUAAACGGUGGGCGAUAGGUGUAGGGGUCUUCCACGACUUCUGUGCCGUAGCUAACGCAUUAAGCGCCCCGCCUGGGGAGUACGGCCGCAAGGCUAAAACUCAAAGGAAUUGACGGGG
rnacentral:rRNA from 1 species